CAGACACGCCCCCCUCGGGCAGGGGCAGCCCACCAUUGCUGGUGGACGACCAACCCUCCCACCCUGGCGAGCUUCUGCCCUUCAGGCCUCUGCCCCAGACGCCCCAACCCCGGCUCCUGCUGGGGCAGGUCUGUGGCUGGACUUCCAUCUGCAGGGGCAGAGGGGGAUGAGAGUGAGAAGCCACAAGAAGGGACGUCAAGGGCGGGACUGAGCAGCGAUGACUUGGCAUCUGGGGCAGCAGAGCCCCGGGGCUGACCCAGCGCCUGGCCAUGCUCAGCUCACUCAGAAACCCCAGGGAUCUGGAGACACCGUGCGAACUGAACGGAAAGUUCUCAGGGGUACAGAAGACAGAAAGAAACAGGGGGUGGGGUGGACUCACGGCUGCCUGCCCGUGGCCCCCGCAGGCCGUGCAUUCUGACCCUUCCAUCCAGGUCCGACUCCGAGGGACAAGCUGGGAUUCAGACGGACGGAGCUGGGGCUUGGCCAUCGCUCGGGAGCUCAGGCUCCUCCCACAGCAGAACAGAAGCUCCCGGCUGAGGGGCACCCGACCCGUCGCUCUGUGGCCCCUUCUGUGUGUGAUGGUUUCAUGCUUUCUGUCUGAGGGAAACAGAGGAUGUGUUGCAUUUGCCUUUUACCCCCCAAGACAUUUCUCAAACACUGGCUUCUCUGAGCCGAGUCUGGAUACGCGGUGCAGGCUGAUGUGGAAAACCCAGCGAACCCAGAUCCUCCUCAGGGUCUGUGGGACGGGAGGACGGGACCUCAGCAGGCCGCAGCUGGCCCUCCCCAUGGCGUCCUGCCUUGCUUGCCUGAGGAAGCGGUGGAGACGGCCAGGGCUCAGGGCUGGGGUGAUCACCCCCGCCCCGGGCAAGCUGAGGAUCAGAGGUGGGGCCCAUCCUAAGCUGAGCCAGCCUGAGCCCCCGAUGCUCCCCUGUGUCCACUCUGCAUCUGCAGGGUCAGCGCUGGUGGCAUAGGUGGAGGAGAAGCAGCUGACGAGCUGACAAGCCACGUCUCCAGGCUGAGGCGCUGGAGUCGGAGGAGCCCAGACCGGCCCCACGGGGACGAGCCAGAAGCUGGGACCCUCGUAGAGCUGCGAGCCGCAGGCUGAGGGCCCAGCCUCCUGAUCAGGCCCCUCUGCCGAGGGGUCCCGGAGAAGCUAUGGUGCAUCUGUCUGAGCUCCAGGCAGCAGGGACGCAGACCAGGCACCUCCCCUCCCCGUCCUGUUGAGCACCCCAGCCCUGGACAAGGGAGGCCCGGCUCAGACCACAGCUGACUGCAGCCUGGACGUGCAGGUGCCGAGAGCUGCCAGGCCCUCUCAUCGGGGACAAAGUGGGAACACACCAGACCCAUCCAGGGACACAUGGCAAAGCCAAAGUUCUGAGGGGUCGGUGCAUUGCUACCCAGACAAGCCAGUGCCAUCAGAGACCCCACGGUGGGGAGCAGCAGAGCCACAACCUCUCAGGGUGUGACCCCAGGAAUGCUCGGCCCUGCUUGAGGCUCAGAGUCCAGCUCUCUCUGGACGGAGCCAUCUCCUGCAGCGGCGCUGAGAGGAGAGCCAGGAGUGAUCACAGGUCAGCGGGGGAGGGGUUCGAGACCCCUCUGCCCACCCCCAAGCCCCAGAGCUCUGAAGGCACCUGCCACCCUGGAAAUAGGUCAGUGUUGGUGCUGAAUAAAAACUCGCUAACGCGGGAGGCCUCUCUGCCCCUCUCCCCGACCCCGGCCUGGCCAACGCUGGCUUUCCUGGUUUCCUCGGGGAGCACGGCCACGGCCUCUGGCCACGAUACAAACGAUGCCCCAUUAUUCUCUCCCUGCAAGUGACUCGUUAGGAUUUCUGACCAGCAGGCUUCACGUCUACCACGAGUCCCCGGGGUCAGCACAGCGUCUGCAGGUCACGGGGGCUCAGUGACCACGGAGUGACAGUGACACAAGGAGGAAGGAAGCAAUGGAGAGAAUUUCCCCAAACCAAACCCUGCCGAGUCCGGGGGUGGAAAGUUAACCCCCCUCCGCUCUCUGACUCUUGGGGAGAGAGACGUGACAGCCGAGAUGUCAGCAAGAAUGUGCCCGUUGGGGACCUGGGGCCUGGGGAGCACCUGCUCCUGUCGGAAAAGCAGCAACAGGUGCUGAGGGACGGCACCUCCCUGCAGGGACCGUCACAGCUGAGAGCAACUUAGAUUUGCUCUGUGACGCAGAACUUCUGCACGAGCAUAAAAAUAACCAGCUCAAUGGAGAAAGAUCUAGUUUCUUGGGGAUCACGGCAGCUGCAGUUUGAAGUCGUGGGCUGCGAGCUGCUGGAGAGCAGGGCCUUCGAGGGUCUCGGCUGGACCAGGCUCGGGGGCCGCCCAGUCCAGCUCUGAGCAUGAAGCCUGGGGAGCCCUGGUCUGGCCGAGACCAGGCCUGGACUGACCAGGUUUCAAGCAGCGAACACCUGGGGCUGCACCCCCAGUGGCCCCGUUGGUCACUCAGUGGUGACGGGAAGGGGCAGCGGCUGACGAGCAUCCGGAGCUCGGCCCUCUCAGCAGCCCAGGAGGCACUACUGCUCCCCUCUCGGCCUCAUCAAUAUGGACGUUUGCCCCGGGCAGUGUCUCGCCCCAGGCCUGGGUGACCAGGGACACAGAAUGCCGGUGGAAAAAUAAGUUAAUGAGCUUCUGCUGGGGGCAGGGGUAGCAGGGGGAUCGUCCAGGCAGAGCCGUGCGCUGUCCUGGGAGGUGGCCGGGGCAGUGCCAGCUCACCGCGUGGCCCAGGGUGCCCACCAGGAGGUGCCACAUGAGCCUCUGGCUCCGGCCUGGCUGUGCCCAGCGUGCAGAGGACAGACCUAGUGCAUGUGAGCAAGUAUGUGUGUGCUGUGUGCACGUGCAGGUGGGUGUGGACGCGCGUGUGAUUGUGGCGUGUCUGUGUGGC
rnacentral:lncRNA from 1 species